CUUGCCCUUUUCCAAUGGAUGCAGGACGAAGUUCCUCCUAUCAGCUUGUGUUUAAUGCUAUGAAUCUGACUUCCUUGUCAGCAUCAUGAUUCAUGACAGCAAACAGAGAGAGUGUGAAGCCUGCAUUUCUGUGGGUUGGGAACGGAUUAGAGUAUUUAGACAGCUUUCAUGUCCAGUCUCAGCCAGUCAUGCUGGACAUAAAAGAAACUUCAGAAAAUUCACCAGAUCUACUACAGACUCAGACUGAGAUCCAGGGAGAUGAAUCAUUACUUGCUGAAGGAUAUUAUCUUGAGAUAUUUAUCAGGAAAAUGCAGAAUGUGUGGACCUGAGACUUGAGAACUGGGAAUUACAGCAUGAAAAUGAGGACCAGAAGAGUUUCUUCUCUUCAAGGUCCGCAGAUGGCUAUCUCAGUUCCCAGAAUCACACACAGAAACAAUGUCAAGAUGAAGAAAAGGAAAUAUCUCUUCAUUUGUCUCUUUUACAAGUGAGGAAAAUCUUUCCAGAAUUGCUCGAACAUCUCAUUGGCCAGAAUUAUGUCACAUGAUCACAACCUAACCAAUUAACUAUAAUGGAAAAUGAAGCCACUAAGUGUCUAGGACCAAUCAAGAUUCUCCCUCAGAGCUGCUUUUCCAAAAGUACUUGGAUACUCUUUAAUGAUGAACAAAGUCAGCAUUUUGAAAGUGAGGAAUAAGGGGGAAAUAGCUACUGGUUAGACGACAACUUGUGUCUUUCACAGAGUGUGAGAAAUAUUUACGCUUUCAAAAGCUUCAUGGAUCAUAAAAUAUUGAAGAACACCGGAUGAGAGACCCAGAGCAGCCAGUAUUCACCUGUCAGUAAUCACUUAACCAGUUUUUUUUUCGUGUAUUUGAAGAGUUAAUGUGUUUCUUUGCAAUCAAAUGACAAAGGCUUAGUUUUCUAAACAAAUGCAAAGAAGGCCUUGGAGCAAGAAGUGACCAUCCUAACAAAAUGUGAUGGGAUAAAAGGUGUGGACACAUACGAUCCAAACAGCAGAGAUAUUAUUGCCAUACAUGUUCUGCUAAGGGUUUAUCACCAGGUCCACAGGGAGAAUAAACUGCAAUAUUAGUAUCAGAAUGCAUGUGUGUGGGGUCUUUAUGAAAGGAAGAGUAAUAAAAUAUAUGUAUUAUUCUCAUGGCAGAGUCUGGUUCAGUCGUGUUCUAUACAUUUUUAGAGUCCAUAUAAACUUGGUGGUUACAGAAUCCUUCUGAGUAAUGAUUUUUAUACGUAUAACCACUUUCAUUGUUGGUAAAUACUUAGAAAAUAUGAGACCAUAGGCUCAAGAAGCACAGAGAUGUUAUCUGUUUCAUUCACUAUUUUAAUCCAGAGCUUAAUACAGUGGAGAUAGAUAGAUAGAUAGACCUCUGAGUCUAUCUAUCAAAAACCAGGAAGCAUACCAAUUUACAACUGACUUAACAAGCAUAUUUCUGAUAGGAAAUGUUUUAACUUGCCCUUACAACAAACUGGUGAGGUAGACAUUUUCAAGACUAACAUUCAUUUUGCCAUAACUGAUAAUGAGUUAUCUGAUUUCAAACAGUUUUAGAAUAAAGUUUGAGCACUAUUUUUAUU